AGAAACAGAGGUAGUGUGUGUAUGUGUGUGUGUGUGUGUAUGCAGGGAAACAGCUGUUCAUUCAGGGUGGGACUUGCAUGGUGUGUGUGUGGGCGAGUGCAUGCAUGUGCCUGCUUCUAUUGUGUGUGUGAUGUAUUAUUGACGCUCAGGUCCUUCAUCAGUAAGCAGAUACGAGCGUACGAACGCCGACGCAGCCAGCGGCGCUCAGGACUCUGAUGAUCCCUGCACGAGCGCACGAGGAAAACAAAACGCUCGAAAUAAACACACACACAGAGAAAACAGAACACACACACACACACACACACACAUGAAAAUAAAAUAAAAAGGCAUGAGGAGGAAGAGAAGAAAAGGAAAGACGCAGGGAGAAUCUCAUCACCGGGAACAGACACCAACAUCAAAACCGACCAAUCAGAGAUCUUUAAAAACAUUCAUUCAGUUUAAAAAAGGAGGAUUACACUCGAAGCGUUUCAUCGCAAGUCGUCCGUGCAUCGUGUGAUUUCCCAGCAUGCCCUGCGCUCAACUCAAUUAAACCUGCACUUUCACUCGGAUACGGUUUCCCACUGCUUCCCUUCUCUGCCCUUUCCAUCCACCCAUCCUCAAACUUCUCACUAGUGCAGAGCACUCGAUUUAUUCUCUCUCUCUCUCUCUCUCUCACACACACACACACACACACACACACACACACACACACACCAUGAGAAACCCAAACACAAAUCAGUGUUCCAUGUUGUCUUCAUUCCUGUGUGCAGAGGAGGAGCAGAGCACCUGCUGCUGAGGACAAACACACACUCGGAGAAACACACACUCGCUCGCACACACACUCGCGGUUCUACCACCAAUACGGGUGAGGAGGAGAGAACUGCCAGGAUUCCAGUGUUUACUACAACCUCUCUCUCUGUCUGUCUGUCUUUCUGCACCUCUUUCUCAAAGUCUGUCCGUCUCUCUCUCGGUCUCUAUAAAAUUAAUUCUUUGGACCAAUCAGAAUCCAGGAUUCAGUCUGAGGUUUUCUAUGUGAAAAGACACAAGGAAGGAAACAGUCUCUGCAUUUCAUGGUCAUGAUUUUUAUCAGGAAUAAUGUGUUAUGGUAAAUCAGAAUAAACCAACACAGAGGUCUGUGUAGCUCGUCCUCGCAGGCCGAGAGAAAGAUGGGCGUUUAAACCCGGGGUGAGGACGGCGGCUAAGAUGGAGUUGCUUCGGUUUAAUUAGAAACGAUGAUCUGCUCCGUGUCGCACUUCAGAUGUUGACAGAACACCGAGUGUGAAGACCGGCCUUGGAAGAACUUGUAAAGAACAGAAAAACAGUUCACGAUGCUAAACAGAGUCCUCCCUCCCCACACACCACACACCUCACGCCAGGUGAUACGGACCACGUUCACACGGACGGCAGUGAUCUAAUCAUCGACCUUAUUCUGAAUAAGACAAUAUGGUGAUGAAGGUGUUUACACGAGUGGCUUUAGAAUACUCCUGUCAUGUUCCCGUGUUACGUGUUCUAGAACACAGUUAGAUUAACAGCCCGUCAUCACGUCCCCGCGCCACGCCGUCCGACGUCCCUCCAGAAUUUCACGUAUCGACGUACAGUCGGUCUCCGUUAUGGGACCGUGUACAGUUUCGGUGUUCCAUGUUUAAUUUUAGGAAAGCUUCCAGUGCGGUUAAUUAUCUGUCGUGCCGUACGUGUAAACAGACGACUGCUUGAAGCCGUGGGCUGCGUCCCGAACCGCGUACUCUACAGUAUAGUCUACAUAGUAGCGGAGAUGCAUGUUUUUCUCCUACGAUAUCUCAGGUAAGGCCGGUCUCAGGCUCUCUGUUAAACACACUGUUCAGACAUCAUAAACAUCUUCAAGCUCAAACUCCUGAGGAUCUGAGCGCUCGCAGCACACCAACGACCAUCAACAGAGAGAAGUAAAAUGUUCCGUGACGUCUGAUUGGUUGAUAUUCAGUAGUAUGUGUAUUACACGUAAACACACGCACUCCCCCCCAGUUUGAUAUUAAAAGAAAUGAAGGAAUAUUUCUCUUUUAUCAAUAACGAUAAACGUCUGGAACUUUCUGGAGUGUAAAUAUUAAUGGGAGCUGGGACUGUGAUCGCGACCUGCGUGGAGGUUCUGUAAGAAGCCUGAUGAAGGAGGAACAGGAACUGCGAACUCAUGUUACUGCGCUCGGCCGAGGAGGGCCAGCGUCGGGUUUCCAUUUCCCUUUUAAAUAUUGUAGGAGCGUAAUCAAGAGCGGAGAACUGAAACCCAGCUGAGAGCCCGAGCAGAAAGACGAGCGGUCACCUGAUCCGGGCCGAGCCGCCGGGCCGAGCCGCCGGGCCUUUUACACACGCUGCAUUGUGUAGUACAGCAGAGAAAACAGAGAAGGCCAAGCAGCUACAGGAGAUCUGCUGCUGUCAGAGCCGUGUGUGUGUGUGUGUGUGUGUGUGUGUGUGUGUGUGUGUGUGUGUGUGUGUGUGUGACCGAUGAGCCUCAGCAACACUGCAACAGUGUGUGUGUGUGUGUGUGUGUGUGUGUAUUUAUUAUAUGCGGGUGUGUAUUGGUGAACAUACCACAGUGAACAGGUCAAUACUUUGGGUUUCUAUAGGAUGACAUACCAACUAAGUAAUUAUUAUUAUUAUUAUUAUUAUUAUUAUUAUUACUACUACUACAUUUUUACUUUAGAUACACAUCCACAGGAUACAUAUAAGGAUUAAAGAAUUAAACAAUAAAAGAUUAAACAUUAAAAUGCAAAAAAAAAAAGAAUAGUCAGUGAGAAUAAAUGGAAAAGAUGUUAACACAAGCGUUAAUAAAUAAUCAUAACUAUUUAUUCAUUCACAGUUAUUUAUUUAUUCAUUCAUUUUUGUUUAACUGAUUUCACAGAUUUUAUUUAUUUAUUUAUUUAUUUUUUUAAGUCAAACAUUUUUUAUACAUUCCUUUUUUUUUUGCAAUUUAAAGCAGCAAUAUGUCUGAACCAAAACCGCUUUGGAGGCGGGGCUACGUAUGAACUCACUUUCUGAGGUCACAAUUUCACGGCUUGGUAUGCAAAUUAUUAGAGAAUGACAACAGCAGCGCAGCAGCAUUAAAUUUUAGUCCCAGAACCUUCAUGCUAAUCUAGCUAGCUGGCUACCGUCACUAAUGUUAAAGAAUGCUAUGAAUACAUCAGGGUUGUCAAGGUAACAAAUGAAACAGAUUCUGACGAUCAGAAAUAAAGGAGUGCGAAAACGAGGAUGUAAGUGGAGACCCUGCGACUAAAGCGAGCUAGUUUAGUUGUGAUUAUCCAACCGCGUGGCUGCUCCAGGAUGCUCCAAAUUUGCAUAUAUGUGCAUAAUCAUCAAACCCAGGUGUAAUGAGGGUAAAAGCGCAGACGCGUUCCUCUGCCAUUUUUAGUAAGUUUAUUCCACAAAAUCUGUUGAAAACCUGCUGCAGAUUGAAACAGGAGGACUCGCGGGCUGAACCCAGAGGUGUCAGUGAAAACCUCAUCGCACGCUCGUACAGAGGAGUGAAAGCUGCGCUUGCGAGCCAGGUGAAGCGCGCGCAGUGACGUCGCCGUGUUUUGCCUUUCAUUUGCACGACUGAAUUUUUCUGCUCCCAGGCAACUUUUUUCCCUUCAUAGUUUCCACAUGCCGAGUUUUCUGCAAGCCGAACACGCUGGUGCUAGCGUGAGAUCCGGAUCAGGGAGCAUGGCGAACAUUCUUACAUGACUGCACUGCCACUGAGGAAUUUUUAAUAUACUUUCAGCUUUCCUUUAAUCUGGGAGACUCAUCACGAGGCUGCUCACAGAAGUGAUGGGACUUAAUCAGAAAAUAAUACAAUCCCCUCAAGGUGCCAUUCAUCAGACUCAGGUAGCAGUUCACGCCCACUAAAGGGGCAGGGGGGGUUAUGGGUAACAGUAAUGAUGGACCGGGGGUUCACGGGUGAGCGUACUGACGGAGAGGGGGUUCACGGGUGAGCGUACUGACGGAGAGGGGGUUCACGGGUGAGCGUACUGACGGAGAGGGGUUCACGGGUGAGCCGUACUGACGGAGAGGGGGUUUAUUGCUCAUUCUUGCUUUCCGUUUUCUGUAGAUUUGGGGUUUUUUCACGUGACAGUGCCCCCUAGUGAACACGCUCAUGUCACGUGAAUCAGGUCCUGACCUGCUCGCAGAUGCACCCUUUCAGAAGCCUAAAUCUGACCCUGACCUCCAUACAGACACACUGACCCAGGCAGCUGGAUUACAAUGAGCUCCACCAGGCCUGGAGCAGGUAGAACAUUCCAGUGACGGAGAUCACCUUGAGGCAAAUACCCCGAUUACACAGCAACGUAAAUAGUUUGCCGAGUAAAAGGAAAAAACCGUACUGGAAGCAGAGAGGAGAGCUAAGCUAUGUACGGGAUAAAUAAAAUGAGAGAAACGUUGGUGCAGUAAUACCCUGGUCUAAUCCAGGUCACCACACUGCUCUCGUUCCUCGGAGAUGAAAAGUGAGGAGCUUAUUAAAUCCGAAGCUCCAUGGUACAGUAGAACAAUGACACUCGCGGCCAAAACGAGGACAGCGAGGAAACGAGCCAGAGACGGAGAGAAUGCCAACAAAGAGCCAUCACCAGCGAGCAGCCAAAACAUGACAGGAGGAGCGCAUCAGGAGCUCAAGAGGAGAAAAAAAAAAAAACACAUACUUGUUUGGCCUUGGCCUCACAACACAAUCGAAGAGUUUUUGUUAUGGCUCCUUUACUGAAAUCUAAAGCACAUCGAGGACAUCAACAAUCAAGAGUUCAAGGAAAAGAAUCGGAGGAAGAAAAACCUGUAAUAACGGAGCAAAAACCGCGGACAAGAAAGCAAAGAUCUGCUCAAUAAAUCGGCUCACGGAGUGCAAGCGACACACGAUCAUCAAACAGCACCAGUCACACGGCUCGGCUGACAACGUUAGCUUCCUAAACACAGCGCUGCGCUAACUCUGGUGAUGCAACAGAUACUUCAGCUAACGUUAUCCCUUCAAGCAGCAGCGCUCUAAUCUCACGAACAAGCUAGCUAACGUCAGGCCUACCAUUAGAUCAACCCCAAAUAAACCCGCAGACAGUUACACUAGCAGGGUAGCUAACGUUAGGCCAUCAGGCGAACAAUAAUGUAAUCAAAUGUUUAAGAAUGCUAAUUUAUAAAGUAACAAACCUGGUGGGGGUGGGGUGGGGGAGGCUAAUGCACUCACAUUAUUUAUCUCUAAUAAAAAUAUUUAGUCCGAGACAAAAACUCAAACUGAUCUUAAAACUGAGAGCGUGUGAAAUAAAUUUUUAAUCACAGGAGCUGAAGUGUGUGUUCAAGGCUGGGUGUAAGGGGAGAACCCAAUCAGACGAGCGCUAACGUUUCACUCGCCAACAAAGUGCCAUGUGUUUGGGCCGUGCCAGGAGCAGUGUGUGUGUGUGUGUGUGUGUGUGUGAGAGAGAGAGAGAGAGAGAAAGAGAGAGUGUGUAAAAUGGAGGGUGUGUGAGUGUUUGGUGGGGUCUCAAAAUCCAGCCUCUGUAAUUUCCAGCAAAGCAACACUGACACCACACACACACACACACACACACACACACACACACACACACACACACACACACGCCUCUCUUCAGGAUCAGACUGAAACUCUGAGGAUGGAGUUUUUCCUUCAGGAUGAAUGCUGUUCAGCGUGAGGAGGAAACACAGGGAGAGUCGUCGCAUAAACUGAAACAGAUGGAGCUCGAGCGGCUGCUUGUUCACAAGCAAACUCACAGAAUCCUGACCGAGUCAGCUUCACGCCGAGUCCGCUUCACGAGUCUACAUCACAGCGAGUCAGCUUCACGAGUCUCAUCACAGCGAGUCAGCAUCACGAGUCUCAUCACAGCGAGUCAGCUUCACGAGUCUCAUCACAGCGAGUCAGCUUCACGAGUCUCAUCACAGCGAGUCAGCAUCACGAGUCUCAUCACAGCGAGUCAGCUUCACGAGUCUCAUCACAGCGAGCCCGCUUCACGCCGAGCCCGCUUCACGCCGAGCCCGCUUCACGCCGAGCCCGCUUCACGCGACACCACUGCUGUGUUUCGGGUUUUUAAAGCCGAUGAGGAAAUGACUGAAGUGGCAGCUUCAUUGUUGGGGUUUGUGAAGAGGUUACAGAGCGUUGUGCUCCUUCCUCCUCCAUCAUGCCUUCUCAAAUCCACCUUCUCCACCGAACUCGUACGUGAUCACAGUGGAGAAGGAGGGAGUGUCUUUCAGGACAGUCGCGAUGCUCAAAAAGACAAACAGAAAUUCAUUAUUUUAUAAAAAUGAGCCACACGUUUCACUCCACAUGAAUAUUUAUGAGCGAAUAAUUAUUUCAUCACCACACAGAGUCCACAAACGUCGUCAGAGAAACCGCUCGGAUAUUUAUCCAAAUAAACAAAAACACUGUUUAAUAAAAUGUCUCACUAUCGCAAUAUAAACAUAAAUAAACAAAAACAAAUGAAAACACACGCACAUUCGAUUUUACACACCAGUCGCUGAUGGGAAAACUGCUUCUUUCGCAAAUUUUCAGAAACGUAUUUAAUAAUUAAACUGAAAUCCAGACGUCUCGCAAAAACACUGGCCCUGCGCUUCAUUCGGAAACGACUAGAGCCGAGGUUUUAUUAUUUUAUUAUGUUUAAUUUUAACGGUCUUCAAUAGAAAUGAUUAUUGUUAUAUACUCCAUUAAGAAAGAACAAAGAUGAAAUGAUGCUAAAAUCAAGCCACAGAUUAAAAGAGAAGUUGAGCAUUUUGGGAACUGAUGUUUCCUUCCCGUAGAUUUAAGUGAGCAGUGCAACAAACACCACACACACACACACACACACACACGAUUAAUGACAGGAAGUGGAACACCAGCAGAGCUCAGACCCGCCCCUCAGGCUACAGAGCCGAUUCCUCUGCAGAUUUCCGUGUAAACGAGGUUCGGGAGCCUCGGCUCCUCACCUGAACCUCUGCAGAACUUCGGUUACGUUUCAGUCUGAACCUCAACUACAUCACCGAGAAGAAAAAGCCUUCCCUGAAGAGCCAGGAAGCAGGACACAGAGGGAGAAAAUCCUCACGAAGAAAAACAAACUAAACAAAAAGGCAGACAGAAAACUUCAACUCCCUCUGUUCCUGAAUUCUACUUCCUGUCAGCGAAAAAACCCUCAAAACAUCACGGGGGGGGCAGAGAGAGAGAGAGAGAGAGAGAGAGAGAGAGAGAGAGAGAGAGAGGGAGACAGAGAGAGAGAGAGAGAGAGAGAGAGAGAGAGAGAGAGAGAGAGAAACGAGUGAAGCUCCAGUCUCACCUCGCUCUUCCCUCUCUAUUGAUUUUUGCUUGCACCAUUUUCUCUCUCUUUUUAUUCAUAUCGUCCUUCCUUUCAUCGUUAUUUUACCGUCCUUUCUGUUCUCUUCCUUCUGUUCUUUUAUAUCACUUCCUUUUCCCAUCAUUCUUUUCCUUCAUUUUUACCCUUUCCCUUCAUUUUCUCCGUUUGUUCUUGCUCUUUCCCGCGUCUCCUCAGGAACAGUGAGACGAGCGGAGGUAUCUCUGUAACUGACGACACGGCUGAUAUUUUGAUCUGAAACUUACAGGGUUUUAAAAUGAAACACCUUUUUUUUUCCCUGCAAAACCUUGCUUUCAGAAUUAUUGGCACCCCCAGAGUUGUUAAUAGGUGGAACCCCGUGUCCUCUGGGCAGAAGAACAGCACCGAGUCACUUCCUGUGAGUUCUAACGAGCCUGUAGAAGCUUUUGGAAAAUGUCUGACUGUGUUUACCGCAGCAGUAAUCCUGCUUCAUCUCUCACAGCCUUUUAUUUCCCCGUCACUCCACUUCCACGGUCUCUGUUUUAUCUUCACCCCAUGUUUUAUAGUGUUUUUAAUCAGACACAAAC
ensembl:lncRNA